GGUCAAGCUAAUACGGCUGAUGGUGGAUACCUAGGCACACAGAG
rnacentral:rRNA from 4 species